GAAGAAAAUGGGCAUCAAAGUAGA
rnacentral:piRNA from 1 species